UCUAUGAUAUAAACCCCAGCCGGAUACUACAAACCCUGUUUAAAAUUCAAAGAACUUGGCGGUAUCUUAUACAGUCAGGGGAACCUGUCCCUUAAUUCGAUAAUCCACGAAUGUCAUACCUUUUCUCGCAAUCCAGCUUGUGUACUGCCGUCGAAUAUAUACCUUAAAAAGAAAGUGUAUAAUAAUGAUUUCCACCGACGUCAGGUCAAAGUGCAGCCAAUGGAAAGGAGGAGAUGGGUUACAACUUCAACAAAAGCCACUAACAUAUAAAAACAUGUAAGAAAGAUGGACUUGAAAGUAAUAAUUACCACUAAGUAAUUAUGAAUAGGAAUCUAAGAUAUGUACACAUCGCCCGUCGCUCUCGUCGAAAGAUG
rnacentral:rRNA from 1 species